AUGAGCAUCCCGUUUUGGGAAUGAAGACAGAGCAGUCCACAAGUUUAAAGAAGUGGUUCAGCCCAUGCAUUGAAACUGACCUGAGAAGACUCUACUCACACAGAGCACUGACCUGUUCUGGAGGACUUCUGACAGGAGGUGGAGGUCUGGCUCUGGGUGAGGAGGUGGAGGUCUGGCUCUGGGUGAGGAGGCAGACACCUUGGGACAAACUACAUGUUACCUUUUUAACCUUGUACAGUUCUAGAGUUUCUUCUACUGUAACAUGUGGGAAAGACGGCCAUUAUUUUAGCUUUGUUAUUAUCCAGUUGGUAACUAAGCACCAAAGUCGUUGUUUAACGUCAUUCCAUUGGGUAGGGUUUUACUUCAAUUAUUGACACCAGAUAUUUAGAACGUAUGAAAGCUGAAGUAACAAAGAACACUAAGCAGUAUCGAUAUUAAAUCAAAUAUACUCAGCCAUAUUCAGGUGCAGGGUUCCGUCGAAGAAAUGCCAAAUUGUCUUCCACCUUGAAAUGAUCUUCAGCCUUCACUGAUGAUCAGAAAUGGGCCCGCAAGUAGAACGCUGUUUCGAACGCAGCGAGAGUCCCGUGAACGUGGUUAAAGUCGGCGCAACAGUCGGAAAUUAUCAACAUAUUGUACGAUGCACGCGUCAGUGAGUAUUUAAUAUCAAACUUAAGUAGUUUAAGA
ensembl:lncRNA